rnacentral:rRNA from 1 species
AACUUCUUUUAUAUGGGAAUAAAGUUUUCCACGUGUGGAAUUUUGUAUGUACCAUAUGAAUAAGGAUCGGCUAACUCCGUGCCAGCAGCCGCGGUAAUACGGAGGAUCCGAGCGUUAUCCGGAUUUAUUGGGUUUAAAGGGAGCGUAGGUGGACAGUUAAGUCAGUUGUGAAAGUUUGCGGCUCAACCGUAAAAUUGCAGUUGAUACUGGCUGUCUUGAGUACAGUAGAGGUGGGCGGAAUUCGUGGUGUAGCGGUGAAAUGCUUAGAUAUCACGAAGAACUCCGAUUGCGAAGGCAGCUCACUGGACUGCAACUGACACUGAUGCUCGAAAGUGUGGGUAUCAAACAGGAUUAGAUACCCUGGUAGUCCACACAGUAAACGAUGAAUACUCGCUGUUUGCGAUAUACAGUAAGCGGCCAAGCGAAAGCAUUAAGUAUUCCACCUGGGGAGUACGCCGGCAACGGUGAAACUCAAAGGAAUUGACGGGGGCCCGCACAAGCGGAGGAACAUGUGGUUUAAUUCGAUGAUACGCGAGGAACCUUACCCGGGCUUAAAUUGCAUUUGAAUAUAUUGGAAACAGUAUAGUCGUAAGACAAAUGUGAAGGUGCUGCAUGGUUGUCGUCAGCUCGUGCCGUGAGGUGUCGGCUUAAGUGCCAUAACGAGCGCAACCCUUAUCUUUAGUUACUAACAGGUCAUGCUGAGGACUCUAGAGAGACUGCCGUCGUAAGAUGUGAGGAAGGUGGGGAUGACGUCAAAUCAGCACGGCCCUUACGUCCGGGGCUACACACGUGUUACAAUGGGGGGUACAGAAGGCAGCUACCUGGUGACAGGAUGCUAAUCCCAAAAGCCUCUCUCAGUUCGGAUCGAAGUCUGCAACCCGACUUCGUGAAGCUGGAUUCGCUAGUAAUCGCGCAUCAGCCAUGGCGCGGUGAAUACGUUCCCGGGCCUUGUACACACCGCCCGUCAAGCCAUGAAAGCCGGGGGUACCUGAAGUACGUAACCGCAAGGAGCGUCCUAGGGUAAAACUGGUAAUUGGGGCUAAGUCGUAACAAGGUAGCCGUACCGGAAGGUGCGGCUGGAACACCUCCUUUCUGGAGC